rnacentral:rRNA from 1 species
GACGAACGCUGGCGGCGCGCUUAACACAUGCAAGUCGAGCGAUGAAACUUUAACAGAACCCUUCGGGGCGAAGAUAAAGUGGAUUAGCGGCGGACGGGUGAGUAACACGUGAGUAACCUGCCUUAGACAUUGGGAUAGCCUCGGGAAACCGGGAUUAAUACCAAAUAAAAUCAUAAUGACACAUGUCAUAACGAUCAAAACUCCGGUGGUCUAAGAUGGACUCGCGUCCCAUUAGCUAGUUGGUAGAGUAAAAGCCUACCAAGGCGACGAUGGGUAGCCGGCCUGAGAGGGUGAACGGCCACAUUGGAACUGAGAAACGGUCCAAACUCCUACGGGAGGCAGCAGUGGGGAAUAUUGCACAAUGGAGGGAACUCUGAUGCAGCGACGCCGCGUGAACGAAGAAGGCUUUCGAGUCGUAAAGUUCUUUUAUAUGGGAAGAUAAUGACGUUACCAUAAGAAAAAGCCCCGGCUAACUACGUG